UGCCAGCCGCCGCGGUAAGACGAAGGUGGCAAGCGUUGUUCGGAAUUACUGGGCAUAAAGAGCGCGUAGGUGGCGUGGUAAGCGAGGAAUGAAAUCCCAUGGCUCACCCAUGGAACUGUUUCUCGAACUGCCAUGCUUGAGGACGGGAGGGGAAGGUGGAAUUCCUGGUGUAGCGGUGAAAUGCGUAGAUAUCAGGAGGAACACCGGUGGCGAAAGCGACCUUCUGGCCCGUUCCUGACACUGAGGCGCGAAAGCUAGGGGAGCAAACAGGAUUAGAUA
rnacentral:rRNA from 1 species